rfam:Mesitornis unicolor contig53419, whole genome shotgun sequence.
AUAAAGGCUUUAUGCUUGCAAAGCCACACAUUGAAUCAAAAGAGCAGUA